GGCGAGGACGCCAACAGGAUUGAUGACUCAGGAUGAGGGUCAGGAGCGCCAGGAGGCGAAGACGCAGGAUUGUCAGGAAGACAGACGUCCGGAGACGUUUUACAAGGAAAGGGAACUGCAACAAGGAUUGUUCCAUGCUAAGGGAAAAACAGGGUUGGUUGUAAGCAAACAGGGAAUGUAGAGCCCGUUAAGGGUGUGAGUCAGGAAAAAAGGCGACAGAGUAAUCUGUCGCCUUUUUUCUUUGCUUGCUU
rnacentral:sRNA from 1 species